rnacentral:rRNA from 1 species
UAUCUCUGUAGAGUCUGCAUAUCAAUAAGCGGAGGAAAAGAAACUAACUAGGAUUCCCUCAGUAACGGCGAGUGAAGCGGGAAGAGCUCAAAUUUGAAAUCUUCAAGGUUCUACCUUGACGAAUUGUAGUUUAAAGAAGUGUUUUCUGUUGGAGUUUUGGUAAAAGUUCUUUGGAAUAGGACAUCAUAGAGGGUGAGAAUCCCGUAUUUGACCGUUACUUUCCAGCUGUGUGAUACACUUUCAAAGAGUCGGAUUGUUUGGGAAUGCAGUCCAAAAUGGGUGGUAAAUUUCAUCUAAAGCUAAAUACUGGCGAGAGACCGAUAGCGAACAAGUACCGUGAGGGAAAGAUGAAAAGAACUUUGAAAAGAGAGUUAAACAGUACGUGAAAUUGUCAAAAGGGAAGCGUUUGACACCAGUGUUGUUUUUCUCGAAAAUCAAUUACAAAUGAUUGGAUUUUUGAGGAGUUAUGACUUCAUCGGCUUGCUCCUUUCUUUAUGGAACUUUCUUAAUGCACUUUUCGGUUAACAAGUCAACAUCAAUUUCUUUUGUUGUAAAAGAGUAUGAGGAAGGUGGCUUUCUUUUCGGAGAAAGUGUUUAUAGCCUUGUACUUCUGCAAUCGGAGGGAUUGAGGUCUGCAGCGUAGAUCCUUCGGGGUUUGAUACAUUUGUGCUAAGUUAUAGCUUUUCAUAGACAACUUGUUGAUUAUGUUAAGUCUUGUAGCUUACUCGCUUAUGCUAUUUUACCUACGCUUAGGAUGUUGAGUAGCGACAUACGCAC